rnacentral:lncRNA from 10 species
GGCGGCGGCGGCGGCGGCGGCGGCAGCUGCAAGUUGGGCUGCAGGGGCAGCGCAUACACUACAAUGGCUGCUGGAAAGAGGCGUAAGGAAACAAUUUCCAGGCCCGCCGCGUCCAGCCCGAAAUAUGAGAAAAAAAUUAUUAGAAAUUCCGCGGGCGGUGUAGAGGCGGCGGACGGGCCGGAGGGAGGAUGUUAAAGCCCCGCGAAUCACUGUCUGAGGACCAAAAGCAGAGGUGCUGGGAGGGUGUGGUGAUGGAAGAGCCUUCCCUUUCUGUUACUCCAGUGCACCCACCCAUAGGAGUGAUGGAGGGACAGGAGGGAUAAACAGCCUCAACCGAAGAUGGAUAUGUGUAUAGUUUGUAUCCAAACUGUUCCUUUGUGUAACAAGCCCUCCCAGGAACUUUUCAUGUUACAUUGCUUUGCUUUGGAAGCUGAU